AAUCUUCCACAAUGGGCGAAAGCCUGAUGGAGCAACGCCGCGUGAGUGAAGAAGGAANNNGGUUCNUCAAACUCUGUUGUAAGNGAANAACAAGUACAGUAGUAACUGGCUGUACCUUGACGGUACCUUAUUAGAAAGCCACGGCUAACUACGUGCCAGCAGCCGCGGUAAUACGUAGGUGGCAAGCGUUGUCCGGAAUUAUUGGGCGUGAGGCGCGCGCAGGUGGUUUCUUAAGUCUGAUGUGAAAGCCCACGGCUCAACCGUGGAGGGUCAUUGGAAACUGGGAGACUUGAGUGCAGAAGAGGGUAGUGGAAUUCCAAGUGUAGCGGUGAAAUGCGUAGAGAUUUGGAGGAACACCAGUGGCGAAGGCGACUAUCUGGUCUGUAACUGACACUGAGGCGCGAAAGCGUGGGGAGCAAACA
rnacentral:rRNA from 1 species